rnacentral:lncRNA from 1 species
CGGAAAGUGUGAGGAGAGCAAAUCGUUAUUUGCUGUUCUGUUUCCUGACUUUAUCGUUGAAACAAUAUGUCAAUCAAAGUAAGAGGUACCUUCUUAGAUUAUUCAUCGACUGAAGGAAAUUCAGGAAGUAGAAGAAAUACACCACAGGGAAACAAUCAGGCAAAUCCAGACGAUGAGAAAACUGAGGCCAAGGUCAUACAGAAAUGGGAGCCACCUCUGGAAAUCCAGGCCAGAGCCCCCACUUUCAACCACUGCCCUGCACUGCACUGCUGCUGAUAUAUUAGGUACUCAAUAAAAGAUAAAUGAAUGCACAACUGGACCAUGAUAUAAGGCAGUAUGUGAGGGAGACAGAGAGAGAGAAAGAGAAGAGGAAGAAGAGAGAAAAAUGAAGAGCAAUGGGGUGUGAUCCUUCCCAUGAAACUAUCCCCAAAUCCUUCUAAAGGUUCUAAACUCAAAAAAUGUUUGAGUGUGAGUUGAUUUUUGUAGGAACCAGUGAACAGAUUGGGCUUCCUGCCUGGAUUGAUGUGUAGGAGCAUAAAGGCAGAAGCCCAAGGAAACCAGUCCUGUGCGCUCACAAGAAUCGUGAGGAGGACUUUGCCUUUUACAAUCCUAUAGAAUUUGGGUUUGUCCAAGCUUAAACAGAUCUCUAAGUUCUCUGUUUGACAUCUGUGUUUCGUUUUGGGGUCCCGUCCAGUAUCGUUUGAAUUAAGGAGCAGAGCUGAACCAGGAGUACAGCCUUAUAAUGACUUCCAAACUGUGGGGUGCCCUGUGCAGGGAGAUUAGGGGUUUGUUGGAUUGGCUGAAAAUCUUGAUGAUUUUGGAAAUUCCAUUUAAAUUUAGAGUAAAGUUGUAGAAGCCAUUCUGAGAUAGGCAAUACAGCCUUUGGGGAAAACGCUCUGUUUAAUGUUGGCUGUUCAGAAAAAAGCCAGGUAUACGCUGAAUCAUAAACAAGAAGGGUGGUAACUUCUGUCAAUAUAAGAGACAUAAAAACAGACAUAGGAUUUCCUGGUAUGCAAUGUGGUUUUGUUAAUGGAGAGAAGAGACAUUUUGUGGCAAACUCCUACUAGCAGGAAAAACCAUGGCUUUUCCAGAAAUUAAGGUCAGGAAAUGGGAAAGAAGCCAGAGAGGAUAACUACUCCAGCGCCAUGAGCAAAGGUGCUCAUAUAAACGCCUAAGCUUUUCUUAUCUGUAGAUGAGGCCCUAGAGGGAGGAGCUGCAGAGGGCAGCGUGCCCACUUAACAAUAUCCCUUCCAGGGUGGUCUCUGACCCUGAGGGUGAAGAAAAUGUGGCACAAGGUUCAGACUGGGAGUUUUACCCCCUUCCUGGGGCUCCUUUAAGCCUAGUGUUGUUGACUAUGUUAACGAUAGUGCUCCAUUCACAGACUUCCAUCUAGGUUCUUUGGAGACCUCUGCUGUCGGAAAGGAGCUUGUCUGGUUCAGCCGUGUGGGAGAGACCCCUCAAAUAAAUGAAUGAAGAGGUCAAGCUGGAAAAGGAUUCCUACAGGACCCAGGCCCGGAUUUCUCUAAGGCCAUAGGAGAAGGAUGGGAGAAGUUAGGGCUAUGGAGUGAAGAAGGUCUGUGGUAUGGAGGGGAAUUGAGUGCCAAGUAAUAACCAUGCACUGUCUUCUCUUUACCUUUUCUUUUGGGGGGAACUUGGAAGAAGUUGUGAAAGACUGCUAAUAUUCUCUUCUCACUUUCACUUAGGGGAAAUUUUAAUAACAUAGAGAAAAUUGCAUUCAUUAGAAUUCACUUAGAUGGACAAAUGUCCUAUACAGGAAAGUGCUUGGGGUAUAGAUUGAAAUUCCAAGGAUGUGGAUGGCACUCUUUUAAGCUAGAUAACUUUCUCACUUCUUGGAGGAGAGGAAAGGAGAGACUGGUACUAGUGGACCCACCUGAAUGAUGGAAGGUCGCAAACUCUAUCAUGCAAUCUCUCUUCAUGCCUGUCUAAAUUUGUAAUCAAGGUAAAAAAUUCAAGAAAUGCUUGAGCAUGAGUGGAUUUUUGGUGGAAGCCAAUGAGGAGGUUCCGUGUUGAACUAUGGGAGUGCAUGCAUGGGAGAACAGGAAGCCAGAGAGGAGGAUGAGAAACUUGGACAUCACUGGAGUGUUCUGCGCUCUCAGAGUCUGCAUAAUUGGCAACUAAGUUUAACUAGAUCUAUGAUGGGGUGUGUGUGUGGUCACCUAGCUGAGUAAAAGGAGUCAUAUCUUCCUGGGAAUCUUCCUGCCUCAGGACUGUAUGUUCCCUUGGCAGGACUUUACAUACUGUAUUGUAAUUACAGUCCUGCUGACUACCUUUUUUUUUUCCCAAACACAGACACUUCUAAUCCCCUCAGCUAUCACUGUUCCCUCAUUCAAAGGCUCCCUUGUCUCUUUGUUUCCAUAGGAGGUCCAUGUAGAUAAGGCAAUAAUCCUUUCCAAUAAUUCUUUUUUUUUGAGGAAGAUCAGCCCUGAGCUAACAUCUUCUGCCAAUCCUCCUCUUUUUGUUGAGGAAGACUGGCCCUGAGCUAACAUCCGUGCCCAUCUUCCUCUACUUUAUAUGUGGGAUGCCUGCCACAGCAUGGCUUGAUGAGUGGUGCUGUGUCCGCACCCAGGAUCUGAACCAGUGAACCCCAGGCCGCCGAAGCGGAAUGUGCGAACUUAACUGCUGCGCCACUGGGCCGGCCCCCCCUUUCCAAUAAUUCUAACCUUGUCCCCAUCAGAUGUAUCUAAUAAGACCUAAAAGAAAAAGGAGGGGAACGCCCUUGUGAAUCCCAUGUGACCACCAUAUUCUUUUCUGCCUCACAUCUUGGUUUAUCUUAGCCUCCUGCCUAAAUGCCGUCCUUCCAUCUAAGUCUGAUCCAUCCUUCAAGCCCUAGCUAACAGCACACCUUCUGCCGAACCUUUCUCUGCUCCUUGCAGUCCUUACUGAUCUCCUUUCUAGCAUUGACCUUGUCUCUCUAACUCCAUUGCAUCCUCUGAGGAUGAGGCAUGUUUUUACUUCUGAAAACCCCACAUGCCUAGCACAAUGCUGAGGGCAUAGUAAGCAUUUCAUUUAAACGCGUUUAUUGCUAGCUUUGUGCAAGUGUGGUCUACUGAUUAAAAAUGCAAGCCCCUAGAGGGUAGGGCCUAGGACUUGCAGGUGUUUUUUUAACAGGGCUUCACACGUUUUAGUCUGUUUGACUCUAUUGAAAAAUGAGGACUAUGAGAGUGCAAAAAGCCUCAUUGAAAGUCCCCAUAGGAUGCAUGCUUGCUCCAGUACGUUAUGAUGGAUGUGACACAGCAAUGAGCUGCUCUGUAGGUGUACUUCCAAAGGCCAGGCACGCCAGGAGAACAAUCAUUACCUACUGAGAUUUUAACUGAUUUCCCUUUGUGCAAAUAUUUCUGUAACACUUCUUAAAGGACCCAACGUCUUGACUUUGAAUUCAUCCUGAAUUGAAUAAUGAAUUAUUAUUACUACGAAAGAAGAGCAAAGUAUAAGUAGAAAAUCAGCAACCAUGGGUCCGUAGUAAGACUAGAAAAAUGAAGUUAAGCCAGAGUGUCUUUACUCACUCAAAGAGCUCAUACCUUUCUUAGAGCCUUGUGUUAUUAAUAAUAAUAAUAAAAAACUUUGUCAGCUACUUGGAUCUGGAGAGCAUUCCAAGACCAACAGAAAUCGUUUCAGGGAGCCAAGUCUCAGGGUUUGCAUAAUUGCUAAACACUGUACUUCUCAACUUUCAUAAGACAAACCUAUCCUCAAAAUUUAUUUAUGAGAUGAAUAAUUGAGCCUGAAAAUUUGAUUCUGACAUUUCCUGUCCCUAUUGUGGACCUCUGAAGAGUUGGCUUAAUCACGUUUUCAGUAGUGUCCAAGAAUGACAUUCUUCUGACUCCUUUUAGGCAGAGACUUUUUAGCAUAAGUGAUUGCCUCAGUUUUGCUAACCAUUUCCUUCGGGGCAUGCAAUUGUGCCUCUUUCACUUGUGGAGUAGGUCCUGCAGAAACGGAGGAAUCACAUCCCUCCCCCGGUCUUCCUCCAGGCCAUCAAUACCAUGGAAGAUUUGACUGCAUCAAAAGCCUUUAUGGAUCAUAGACAAAGGAUAUUCCUUUUCAUCCCUGCAAAAGUUAUCUUGCUCAGGGAGUCACAUAGAGAAGGGUUGUGUGAGGCAGGAAUGAACUGACUCAUUGGUAUAUCUCCCGUGAACUCUCUGGAUUGCUUUAGAGGGAUGAAACUGAGCAGUUGAACGACUGUCUGAAUUCCGAGGCAGGGAACCGGCUUAAGAACAGCAAACACAAUUUGGGCCUGCAUAAAAUAAGGGGCUUUCUAGGGGAUCAGAAGAAACCUGUUUUGCACAGGUGUUACUCUAAUUGUGAUCCAGAGCUAAGGAGAAUUUCACAGUGGUUCCUGCAUUGAGACCACAGCUGUUAUAACUCGAGCCCCUCCCCACCCAGUGUGGUGGUCUUGCACUGUUGCAUAGGUCCAUAAUAGGAUGCACAUAGACAGAUAAAGCAAGAUGUGAAGAUUCGUGCCUGGUUCCAGUGAGUGGGGGUAGCUUUGCAUCCAUAGUUAGGUUUCGGUCUGUUUAAUAGGCCUUUGGAGAGGCAAAUGUACAGACUGAAAACUUCUGAUGUAUAGAGCCACUUGCUGUAGCCGUUACCGAGUGAAGAUUGCACGUGCUUUUAUUUUAAGUUAAAGUGGAAGGCAAAAGUAAAGAAAACAACUUUUGGUGUUCUAGAGACUGACACCCAGGUCAACAGGAUAAAAGUUUCUGUUAAUAGGGUUUUUUGGUAUUAUCACUCUUGAAAGGUGGUUUGGUCCUGAACGUUAGUAAGUCUUUUCGAUACAAAAUGUUAUCUACUAUAUUCGAUUCUUGGGGUAAGAAUAGAGAGUGUCCAUUCCUUUUUGCUAGUGGAUUCACUUGAUUAUACAUGGGUCAUUUAGUAGUCUUCUUUUAAGCUGGUGGGGGUGGGUUUCCUUGGGGGUUGUCAUUCUGUACAGUGUUGGCACAAUAUUAUGAAAUAUGGGACCCAGUAGAGUAGACCAGUUUUUAAGAUCGAGUGUUUGGUUUGCUGCAGUUUCUGGGAUGAGCAAUUAAGGUACUUAAUCUCUGUAAAAUUAACAUUUAAAAAAAUAUCAACAACAAAUAACUUUUCCUUGGUUAUUCAGAACUCCUUAUUGAACUAUCAGUGUGAGUGCUUUUUAAUUUUGAAAAUCUCGUCACCCUAUCCUAGGUGGCGUAGCUCCAGUCUUAGACUGUCUGUCUUGGGCAUGCUUACCUCCCCCAUUUUCUACAGAGCUUUUAUUUUCUUGCUCAACUCUGUAUAAAUUGCUUUAUAGUCACUUUCCCGCAUAGCUAUAUAUCAGUGCUUUUUCCUUCCUGUUCUUGUAGCACCUUAUAUAUUUUAUUGGUAAAGAGAUUGUAAAUUCUUCAAGGUUAGGAGCUGUUGUAUACUUAUAGCUGUAUCUCUAUAAUCUGAGUAUAUUUAUUAAUUCAAAGAUUAUUCCUCACCUCUUUCGCAAGCUUUUGUUUUUUUCUUAAUAUGCCCUCUUUUCACCAUCUCGCUGAGAGACAUACUUUGUUAAUAACUUUAAUUCAGUGGUUCUCAACCUUAGCUACAUAUUGGGAUCAUGUGGAGAGAUUUAAAAAGUGCUGAUACCUGGAUCCCAUCCCUAGGAAUUCUGAUUUAAUUGUCUGUAGUGUGGCCUGGGCUUUGGGGUUUUGUAAACCCUCCCUAGGUGAUUCUAACAUCCGGCCAAGGUUAAGGGCCACUGCACUAGUGCCCUAUCACUUCCAAUCAUGGGUUUACUUGGUUUUGCAUUCUCUGCAAAUGUGUAGCACCUUAAUCUUUUGCAUAUUUACUUAAAAUGAUGAUGAUAAUAGUAAUGAACAGUUAUUGAACACUUCUUCUAUGCCACUUCUUCUAAACACUUUACAAUUUAUUUACUUUCACAAAAAUAAUAAGAGAUAAGAAAUAGUGUUACUCACAUUUUAUAGAAGAAGAAAUUUAGGCAUAGAGAGGUUAAGUAAAUUGCCCCAAGUCACAUAGCUAGUGAUUGACAGAUCUGAGAUUUAUACGUAGGCCGUUGAACUCCAGAGCCCAUAUUCCCAAUUGCAACAUCAUGCUGUUGUCUGUUACACCUUCUUCUUGGGGCAGUGACUCCUGAUUAAUGGAAAUUUCCAAAAAAAACCCUGCUCUCCAGUCACAUAGCAUUUCCCCUGUUGCCUUCGUCUAUACAGCUCUGCACUGAGUGAUAUGAUGAGGAAGAAAUUUCUUCUAAAAAGGGAAUAGACAGAUCAAAGUAUACAAGAAAACACGCCACAGAGCCAUGGAAACAUCUAAUCCAGUGUAUUCAAUCCUGGCGCUAUUGACCAGUUGCGUCCCCCUCCAAUUGUGACAAUCAAAAAUGUUUCCAGACAUUGCCUAAUAUCCCUUCACUGAGAACGACUAUUCUAAUCAAGCGUCUUUCAAACGAGUAUUAGUAAUUAAACUUAAAGUAAUAAGAUGUUUUGAUUGAUGGCGACAACUUUUUUCAAAACAAACAUAUCAUAAUUUAUUUAUUCAAAUAGGUAUUUCUUUCCAAGUAACCAACUUGGAAGACUACACUCUUAUUCCAACAAUGCUGCUAUUGUUAAAACAUUUUAAAAAUUGUCUUCAGAUCUUGUAGUACAAUUUUUAAAUAUUAUCCUGUAUAAUGAAUCAUCCUUUAGUGGUGGGUUUAAUAUUUAGAAAGGUCUAAAAUAUAUUUAGAGACAAGUAUGGUGAGCAACGUAUGUUGAAGAAGAUAAGCUGUAGAGUUUUUUGUAACUUCAGCAACAUGGUCUUUCUUAUAUGGCUCCUAAACUGUCUUUGACAGCCUUUAAACAAGAGGGGUUCAAACUAAUGUUCUGAUUAGGGUGCUCUUUGUAGAAGUCCUUCCGGAGCUUCUCCCUUGCAGCACAAUGCUAUAUAAUACUAUUGUAUAAUGCUUAUUUUGGUUUAAAAAUAAAUUUUAUUUUCUAAGCAUCACAUAUCAUGCGUAUACUAAGAAUUUUCAUGUGUGAGCAAGUCCCAGUACCAGAGAAAAGUGGGAAGGCUUCCUAAACGGAGUUAGUUUUGAAAGAGGGAAAAGCCAAGGACGGCCUGAGACAAGUUGGGGAAACCAUCCAGAUAUGGGCAGUAGUCUGUGCAAAGCUUGGAGAUGGGAAGGAGUUAGCUGUGAGUUAGGGAUGGUAGGCAGGUGCACUUAACUAGAUUGGAGAGUCUGAGUCUAGGACUGUAGGUCUCAAUCCUGGCCAUGUAUCAGCAUCACCUGAGAAGUUAAAGAAAAAAGUGAUAGCUGCUUGAGUGCCACACUGGACCUAUUAAAUAAGAUUCUCUGGGGGUGGCGCCUUGAGCCUCCGUGUUUUGUUUUGAAAAUCUUCGCAAGCCAUCUUAAUGCAUAGACAUGUUUGAGAAUCAAUUUAAUAAGACAUAAACUUGAUUGAGUAAAGAGAGCCUGCAAUUCACGUUUUCCAUGACUCACAAAGCAAUAGUGGGCCAGAUUAGGCUUCUGAGCAGAGGAGUAAUAACCUCACGCAGUUGUGUAGAUACCAAGAUGACGAUACUGAUUUAAUAUCAGAAAAUCCAAAGGUCUCUGGUUUUUAGCUUGAAGUUAAAUAGCUUGUCCAUGUUCAUCUAGCCAGUAAGUGCAAAGCGAAGGCAUAGUCCCCAAGCCUUUUGAUUUCAUUUCAGUGUGCACAGGGGAGGACCAGAGAAAGAAUUAGGGAAUUUGUUGAGUGCAGGAGUGGGAGAGAGGUUAGAAUAAUAUGGAAGGUGUCCAUAAAUUGAGAGAGCCUUAGAGAGCAGGAGGGGAGAAAACUGAAGAUUGAACACCCACCAUGCGCCAGGCUAUGUCUCAUUAAAUCUUCCCAAUACCCCAACAGGGUAGUAGUGGGGCACACAAGGAUACUGAGGCUCAGAGUGGUCAAUAACUUGCCUAACGUCACGCAGAUAGGAACUGAGAUUCAGACCCAGUCUAGGUCUGUCAACCUCAGAGCUCACAUUCUUUUUACUAGCCCCUUUGGUCCUUUGUCUGACAGCAGUGGUUCUUCACCAAGGGCAGUUUCGCACCCAAGGGACAUUUGGCCAUGUCUGGAGACAUUUUGGGUUGUCACAGUUGUGGGGUAGGUGGGGGGUGCUACUGGUAUCUAGUGGGUUGAGGCCAGAUAUGCUGCUCAACAAUGCACAGGACAGCCCCACUGAAUUAUCCAGCUCAAAAUGGCAAUAGUGUUGAGGUUGACAAACCUUGACCUAGAACGAUGGUUGUAGCUCAGGAAGUUGGAAAUGAAAGACAAGUUUAUGGGUAAGAUGAUGAAGUGGCUUCAAACAUUCAUGUAAUAGUUAGAUGUUCCGUUAAAUCUAGCUGUGUCUCAUUUCCUUCCCCUUGAGAGUCGCUUGAGGCUGAGGCGUUGCUGACUACAUAGUAAUCUAGUAUCUGAACUUCUCAUGCCUUAACUGCUUCUUUACCUGAGCCCUCCUUCAAGACCCCCAGAUGGGUUUACCACAAGAACAACAGCCUUUGUGCCAGUUGCUAACCACCUGUUAAGGCGAGGAGGCUUUCCCCCCUCAUUUUUUUCUUUCUUUUUUCUCCUGGUUUUAUUAUUAUUAUUAUUUUUCUUUUUUAUGGCCCAUUGAGUUCUUGGCAGAUCUGUUAGACAUUUGCUCCAAGUUUCUCUUUUGGGGCCUUUUGUUAGAAGGAGGUGGAUCCUUGUUUACUAGGACCUGAGUGGAAACAUCCAAGCCCAGAGGCCACAAUAAGGCAGCCAUUUUUAGUCACUUUCCACCUGGGCUGAAUCUGAGCCAGAAGAUAAGAGGCAAAACAUAUUCCAUUGUCAGGCCCCUAAGCCAUCUACUCCCCUGAUUUCUCCCAUGAAUACUCUUGUUCCAACGCCAGCAAGCCCACAUACUCUGUUUGUGGUGGCUUGGAGCCAAAAUCCAGGUGUGAUAUUCCAAAGCAUUCUUGUAGAGGAGUUUUCAUCUGGUAUUUUGUUUACCUGCAUUUUUGGCCAGUCUCAACCUUUUGGGAGCCAAAAGCUUACAGAACUGUAACAUUUCUAGCUCUUACCACACCUGUCUACAAAAUAUGCGUGAAUACAGACUUUACACAAUGUGCCUGUGGCCUUUGGUGACCCCUUCAUUACCUUUAUCUUGCUUCAGGAAAUUUCAAGAGACUGUGGAAACGCCUCCUGUCUAGCUACUGCUCAAUGGAAAUCUGGUACCCUCACAAAGUGCUCUGAGGUCCUUGGCAGGAAAAAAGGCACUCUGUAAAAUCAUGAUAUGUUGUUCUUGGGACUACUUCCUAUUUUUUAAUACAAGACGCUUCUUGAAUGUUCAUCUUAAGGUAGCCCUGGAGGAAAACCAUAAUAAAUAUACUAUGCUGUAAAUGAGUCCUGCCACUCUAUCCAUUCUAGGAAAAGACCUAAAAAUAAUCUAGAUUUGGAUUUUGGUGCGUUUGGCUUUGGGAUCACAGAGAUUUCCUGAACCCUCCUCUUUGGCUUCCUUGGGGCCGUUACUUGGUUCCUCUCACUUUGGGGCUUGAAUAUGUGUGUUCUGACUGGCUCUGUGACUCCCUCCUGUGCUCACCUCUGCCACUAUUGUAGGCCUUAUCUCUAAUGUCUGCUUUGGCCUCUGGUUUGCAGGGCAGUGGGGCAGGUGGAGGGCCACGGGUUAGCAGACAGAAUUAUGGCAGAGGGCCUACAGGCAAGUUCUGCUCGUAUUAAACUUGUUGACACAUAGACUCUCUCAAUCUUAUUUCUGUCAUCUGUAAAAUGGGGGUAAUGCUCUCUGGCUUCUUUACCCCACACCUGAUUUAGGAGCACUUGGCCUUGUUCACCAUAUCCAGGACAAUGUGUGGUGCCUAGUAGCCACACAAUAAAUAUAUGUUGAAUGAAUAAAUAAACAUCAUGUACAAGUCUUCAAUUCUACAGGAAUUUAAGGUACUGCUUUCUGGAGAGGAUGAUGUACUUUAAACUAGUCUGUUUUCAGCACACAUAAGAUAAACAUUUUUGACAAUAUUUUUGCCCUGACUCGCUCCUGGCCCUAGGCCAUGCAACGUCGGAAGAGUACAAGGGAUGAGAUUCUCAUAGAUUUUUCCAUAUCAGUAGUGAGGGACCUUUCAGAGCACACUGUGUUUGUUCCUUGGCGUGGUUUCAGUGGAAAAUGCUUAUUAUAUUUAUUAUGUAUUUUUUAAGGGAAAAUCAUUGUAUAGAACCUUCAUGUAAAUUUUUUGCAUCUCAGUUUUUAAGAUUUACAUGGAAAAGAGAACUAAACAGAGGAUACAGAGUCUUUCUAAGUCUCCUUGUGUAUUUCCUGGAGACUUCAAAGCGGGGAGAGCCUUGGCCUUAGCUUGCAGCUCAGGGAGAGUGAAGUCCUCUGCCUUGUGCCGUGUAUGCCUGUCUCUUGAUUCAUAGGCACGAUAUACAUACAUGUGUGUGUGCGCACACAUAUGUGCGCACACAAAUUAUUAGGACAGGGCAGCUCAUCUGAUGGCUAACUUUGUUGCUGGAAAAGUCAAACUUAAGUACUUGCUUGUGCCUUUUGUUGAGUCCGUGUUGCACUCCUGUUGAAUCUUAGAUAACUAGAGCUUGUCUAGGCUUUUGUCUAAAUUACUCAGUGGUAAUGUUCCUUCUGUGAACAUCCUUAUGUUUAAAAAUUGAAAUGUUAGGACACCUUCUCCCAUUGGUGACCUGCCUGAUCCUUUACCUAAAAACCUCAGGGCUAUUUGAGACUUGGAAAGUUUAGAUUUGAGUUUUUUAGAGAUUUUAGAUUUUAGAUUUUUAGAAAGGCAAUAAGGUGCAUUUACUCUGUUAUGUAAUACUCUCAUCUGGGUCCGGACCAGCAUUCACAGUCAAUCAAGUUUUUGCAGUGAAAUGCAUGAUAUUUGUGCUAAGGGGGAUAAAUGAAGACUAUAAAUAGUCUCAUGGAAACUCAGGUCAGAUCAAGUCAGGUUUUGCCACCAAAAGAGUUUAGAAAGAAAACUUUUUGGUUUUUAGAAACUUGGAUGUUUGGAUUACAGAGAAAAGAUUGUAGACUGGUAUUUCAGAAACAUGAUUACUAAUUAGCUUUAUUUUCUUCGAUUCCAUUAAGAGAGAAAACUUGUUUUCUCCAGAGCCUUGUGGAAGGGAGGUAGGCGACUUGCCUCGAGGUCCUUUUUCCUCCGCAGAAAGCCUGCAGUGUUUCUGCCCAUGGUCAUCCGAAAGUUAGCUCAGUGUGUUUCCUGGUGCAGGCUGUUAAAAUGGCUUGGAUUCCACUAGAGGGCAGCUGGGCCUUAUCUCAGUGGACUUUAUGGUUACCAGAUCUGGUCCUGUCAUAACUGGGUAAUUUUUGCCAUUGAUCGCCACUCAUUUCUGUUUCUAUUCAACACCUGUCUGUCCCACUUGACAGUCAUUCCCACACUUACAUUUCCUGCCUAGACUGCCCUUCUGACCUCCUACUCAGCAUCUCUAGUUGGCUGUUUUAAAGACCAUUCAAUCUGGACAUAUUGAAGGUUGACCUCAAGAGCUCCACUGCCUGCUCUCCACCCCUCGUCCUCUUCUUCUUGUGCCACUUGGCUCAGGGAAAAUCACCACUCCUUACUUGCUUAUGCAAGCCUUGGAACCUAGGCUUAUCCUUGCCUCUCCCCUUUCCGACAUAAUUCCUCACCAGAUCCUCUCUAUUUUACUUGCCAAAUAUCUCUGAAGGUCUGUCUACUUUUGUGUGUCUCUACUCCUAGCUACCACCUUCUUUUACUUGGCUGUUAGCCACCUGACUGGUCUUCUGGCUCCGGGCAACUGAAUAUUUCCAGUAUCUUAAAAGCAAUUAGUAUUUGAACAAUUCAGGAAGACAUAAAACAAAGUAAAAAAAAGAAUCACUCAUAAUCUGUCACACUUCCCCCUUUCUUAUUUUCUUUUGUUAAAGUAAAACAUGAAUACAUUCUUGUUUUAGAUUCAAACCAUGCAGAUGUUUGAAAAAGUAAAGAAUAAAAGAUGAAAAACUCUUCCUACCCUCAUUUCCAUUCCCCUCCCAGAGGAACCCAUCAUCAAACUCGAUGUGCCUUUUCUCUAGACCCCUCUUUCAUAGCUAUAUAUACACAAGCACUCACAUUUUCUAAAAAAACAAAAUGGAGAGAGAAAAACCACUGAGAAGGCAUGAGGCUGGGCCACUACCUUAGGCAAAGCAGUAAGUGAAAACAUCCUGGGAGGGCUGUUAAGGAGAAGAGGAAUAAAAUGUUUAGCUCAAAAUUGUUUGAUUUGCUCUAGCGCCCCCUUUUUCCGUGUCCAACCCCAGGCACUCACCAAUAAAGUUUACUCCGCACACACAAAUGUGCAAACAAAACAAACAAACCCAAAAACAAUGAAACCCCUCCUAGAAAAAUCAUGUCUUUUUGUUUAGUUUUCAAAACUUUUUCUAUUUUCCAGAGAAUAAGUUGUUUUCCAUGUCUUAAUUUUGAACACUUUUCUUUUAAUUGAGGUCAUAACAGUUUAUAACAUUGCGAAAUUUCAGUUGUACAUUAUUAUUUGUCAGUCACCAUAUAAAUGCGCCCCUUCAGCCUUUGUGCCCACCCCACAGCCCCUUUCUCCCUGGUAAUUGCUAAACUGUUCUCUUUGUCUGUGUGUUUACCUUCCACUUAUGAGUGAAAUCAUACAGUGUUUGUCUUUCUGUGUCUGGCUUAUUUUGCUUAACAUAAUAUCCUCAAGGACCAUCCAUGUUGUUGCAAAUGGGAUGAUUUUGUCUUUUUUAUGGCUGAGUAGUAUUCCAUUGUGUGUGUGUGUGUGUGUGUGUGUGUGUGUGUAUGUGUGUGUGUGUGUGUGUGUGUAUGUGUGUGUGUAUACCACAUCUUUUCUAUCCAAUCAUCAGGCAGUGAGCACUUGGGUUGCUUCCCUGUUGUGGCUAUUGUGAAUAAUGCUGCAAUAAACAUAGGGGUGCAUGAGUCUCUUUGAGUUGUUGAUUUCCAGUUCUUGGGAUAAAUACCCAGUAGUGGGAUGGCUAGGUCCUAUGAUAUUUCUAUUUUUAACUUUUUGAGAGAUCUCCAUACUGUUUUCCAUAGUGGCUGCACCAGUUUGCAUUCCCACCAGCAGUAUAUGAGGGUUCCCUUUUCUCCACACCCUCUCCAACAUUUGCUAUUUUUUGUCUUGGUGAUUAUAGCUGUUCUAAUGGGUGUAAGGUGAUAUCUUAGUGUAGUUUUGAUUUGCAUUUCCCUGAUGAUUAAUGAUGUAAAACAUCUUUUCUUGUGCCUGUUGGCCAUCUGUAUAUCUUCUUUGGAAAAAUAACUGUUCAUAUCCUCUGCCCAUUUUUUGAUGAGGGUUGUUUGCGUUUUUGUUGUUGAGUUGUGUGAGUUCUUUAUAUAUUAUGGAGAUUAGCUCCUUGUCAGAUAUAUGAUUUGCAAGUAUUUUCUCCCAGUUGGUGGAUUCUCUUCUUGUUUUGAUCCUGGUGUUCUUUACGUUGCAGAAGCUCUUUAGUUUGAUGAAGUCCCACUUGUUUGUUUGUUUAUUUAUUUAUUUUCUUUUGUUCUCCUUGUCCCAGUAGACAAAAAUCAUGUCUUUUUCGUUAUGUAACUGUGCUCUUCUCCCUAGUGAGACUCAGAAGUCUUUCAAUAUGAGUGAGAAAUUUACCUCAUGCUUUUUGGUGUUGUCACAGGGCUUCAUAGUGUAGAUGGACUAUCAUUUAUUUACCAUCCCUCUAUUAAUGGACAUAUAAUGGUUUAUCCAUUUUUUUCUAUUACAAACUAUGCUUUAUUGAACCUCCCACUUUUGUGUAUAUAUCGAGUUUUUCUCCUGCGGAGUCCUCAAAGUGGAAUUGCUAGAUUAAAGAAUUUGCACAUUUUACAUUUUGAUAGAUGUUGUCAAAUUGAAUCAAUUUAUACUAUUUGAAUAUGCUUGUUUCCACUUGUCAAGACCUAAUACCUAAAUAAUUAUUUAAAUUAAAUAAUGUCAUCUGAUGGAUGGAAAAUAUUGCAUUAUUGUUUUGGUUUGCAUUUCCCUGAUAUAUAAUGUGGAUGAGAAUUAUUUUAUCUUUAGUGGAAAUAUAUAUUUUUGGCCAUAUCUUUUGCUCAUUUUUAUAAACUUUCGCUUUUUAAUUUGGAAGAGCUCUUCAUUGUCAUUUGUUUCAUCCAGUCAACAAACAUUUAUCAGCUGUUGGCAUUGUGCAGUACAAUACACAGUGCCCGCCCUCUUAAGCGGGAGGUGGUUGGAGGGAAUACAGAUUUGCAAAGAAAAUAAAUGCAGUAAGAUGUUACAGCUGUCAUGUUAGAGAAACUGCCUACUUAAGAAUAUUUGGUUGUGGGGUAGUUGCUCAUCUCAGAGGGAAAAAAAUUGAAAAUGGCGUAUAAUUUCUUCUCUCUACUAGCAAAUCCACAAUCUAUUUAAAGUUGCUUACUAUUUUUUAGCUUAUUGUUCUAACCUUAAGUGUGACUUUUUACAUAUUUAAGUCAGUAAUUAUUGCUUAUGCUACUAGUUCUGAAGAAUACUCUAUGAAGUAAUUUAGUUUCAAUAUAGAGUAUUUUAUACUAUAUCUUUAAUUGCAAUGAUGCUCUCAGUCAGCUAGAUGGGAGCCCUUUGACAGCCUCUAUGACCUUUCACUGCACACAUUUAAGAGGAAAUAUUCAGACACCCACAGAUAGGGUCACACAGACACAGCUGAGCCACGUGGCAUUAUGAGAAAGGACUAGACAGGAUGCUGGUGACUGGGAUGUUACCGAGGUGAAGAGACACUCCAGCUGGGGAGGCCUACGUUCAUGAGAUCUCUAUUUGCCAGUUAAAUCAAAGCUGAUUUAACACAUCAGUGCUGCAGUUUAUUACGAACUAUAGAGAUCCGAACGAGUGAGUAGGAUAGUAAGUGCCCUACUUAUGUCCAGGGAAAGGUCUGAUGUUUGUGUAUCUUUAUGGAAAAUUAUAAAACUCAUCUUAUUUGUACAAAAGUCACUGACAAUUGAUUCUCUUCUUCAAGCAGGAACCAGGAGAGGUGGUUCAGAUUUACUGACAGUGAGCUCCCUGUGGGUUUAGGCUGGCAGAAGAGUAGGUAGUCUUAUUUCUUUUUAAGCACAAUCCCGGUUAAACUGACCAGAAAAGAGAUAAGGGGUGGGUAGGAUUAUUGGUCAGGCCGGUUCAGAGAAGUGCAUGAUCCUUCCUCCAGGCCCUAUAACUGUGUGUUGUGUUGGGCGGAGGGUGUCAGAAAUAUGAUAAACCAUGAAAUAUGAUAGUACAUGCAAUAGCUUGUAAAUUGUGAGACAUAAGUCACAGUGAUAUUAUUUUCUGUGAAAAUACAAAUCCCAACCACGGGCAUUGAAUUUCAGUUAUAGAAUGGGUUUAUAGGCAGCAAUCUGAUUGAAAAAGAACUUGCCUCGAAGCAGUGUUUGCAUAGCCAGCACCUUGUUUUUGUUUAGAUUGUAUGUGCCUUGGGAGGAAAGACACCAAUGUAGAUUAUGGGUCACUGCAACACCUCGUGUACCCCCAAAGAGAUCCUGUGGCACCACUACUGAGCCUCAUAAAUAUUUUGUCAAGAUAGACACAGAAAACAGAUAAACUCUGACCGCCAUCUUGUGGAGGGAUCUACCAUUACCAAGUCAGACUGAGUGUGAGGUGGUGGUCGUGGGAGAGAGGCUGAGAGGGAGAUAAAAGCCCCAGGUUUGUUUCUCCCCACCUGAGGAUUCUGCAGGGCUAUAGGAGAGAUAAACCCCUCAGCUACAAAAUUUUCCACCUGGCAGGAGAGCUGUAUUGCCUGAGCCUGUAGAGGAGGUCUUCCCGUAAUUUGAUUUAGGUUUCUAUACCGUGGAGGAUCUGGAGUAGCCUCGAGGGAGCAUUUGUCAUUCCUUAUCUCCCUGUUUCCAGAUCCCCUAGCUUGGGAAGGUAUUUUUCUCACAUUGUUCAGAGUUCAAAGAGCUUACCGAUCAAUGGAUCUAGAUAUUUAUUCUUCAAUAUUAUUCCAUUAUAUACCACACCAGAGCACAUUUGUUUUCACAACAUUUAAUCAGAUUUCCCGGAAAUAGAAAAGCCAUUUGCUUUUUUAUGGAUUUACUAUCAGUCUGAAACCCAAGAACCUUUCCAAUAUUUUAAUACAAACCAGUCAUACUGACUUAAAUUAAAGGAAUGUGUUCAAAGUAGGAAUAACACUGAUAAAAGAGGCUUUUGAUAUGUCCCAGAUAGCACCUAGCCUGAUAGGAUGACAUUUUGGUGAAAGUCAAUAAGACCUGGUAUCACAGGGAGAUUUUUCUUUCUUGAAAUAUUGAAAGCAUAGUUUGCUUUUCAUUUGGCAGAACAACAACAACAACAAAAGAAAGCACGUGGCCAUUUUUCACUUUGCAAAGCAUUCUUUACAGAUGCCUGUCUGGUUGUUCUUGGAUGGCUUCAGGCACCGACACCACAUUCAUCUUUUGAAAGUUCUCCACCAGGUCCAAGUGGCUGUUGUUGAUCCCAGGAAUGGAUGAGGCACGUCAUGCCUUCCAACACGUUCUGUAUUUUAUUUGUCUGUAGUGUAGCAUGCUCAGGAACAUAUCUGGCUGAAGACUCUGUCUUUCACUGUAUCUAGAACCUUGCAGGACUAAAGAAUGCUAUGUUUCUAAUGUAAAUUUGGCAGUACCUAGUGCAAUGCCUGGCACAUAGUAGGUGCUGAAUGAAUGCUUCAAGAUAGAAGGGUCUAGCUAUUACCUGCAACCUAGAAAUGUACUGAAAUUCCUGUAUGGAUGUCUAUAACAUCCCCCUCUCCUAAAAUAUGGCACUAAAUUCUGCUGUGUUGUCAUUUGGGGUUGGAUAAUUCUUUGUUGUGGGGGGCUGUCCUGUGCACUGCAGGAGUUUUAGCAGCAUCCCUGGCCUCUACCCACUAGAUGCCAGUAGCAUUCCCCAGUUGUGAAAAGCAAACAUGUCUUUGGACAUUGACGGGGGCAAAGGUCACUCCCAGUUGCAAAUCACUGCCCUAAACUAAGUGUGGUUGUGUGGAACCCAUCCAACUUCAGGCAUGAGUUGAGUCAGCAGUAGUAAAUAAGGAAAUAUGAUAUGAGAACCCUGGAAAUGCUCUUUUGACCAAUAAUACCUCCGCUGCCCAUGGCAUCCUUUGGGAAGACUGACCAUAAAUAUUUUAGCUGGAAUAGUUACAGAAAGUUGAGAGCAAAAGAUGGAGCAAUCAGCCAGGGAAAUGGUCCCUUUUUGGUUUAAAGAAAAGGACAGUCACUCAGGAAUCAUGCAGUCACUUGUAAAAAACAGGUGUCCAAGAGAUAAUGUGGUGUAAUGGGGAAAAAAAAAAAAUGGAAAGGAACUCAGGAGACUUGCGCUCCAAUCCUGGUUUGGCUCCUGACCAGCUGUGUCUCACAGGGGACCUCUCUUCUCUUGGCUGAUAACAAGGAAGCUGAGCUAAGUGACCCAUAGGGCUUUUCCUACCCCUCAGGUGUGAAGAAAUUAUGGAUCUGUUUAUCUAAUGCAUAACCAUUAUUACCUAUUUUUACAGAGGAGGAGCAGGGCUUUGAAGGAAUGCAACGCAGGAAUCAGGGAGGCGAAGAUUAAGAGUAUAGGAAGAAAGCAGCAGAGUUUGGGGGGUGACAAAGUCUAAGAUGAAAAUAAUGGAGUUUGUGCUGAAGGGAAAUUGGAAUGUACAAGGAAGACACAAAAGCCAUACAGUUUUCCUGUUUUGUGUGUGUGUGUGUGCACGUGCAGGUUGAUGGUGGGGGUGCUGAGUGGGCCACAUUUAGCAAGCUAAUCAGUUUCCCGCUGGCUCUUGGGGAAGAGAGUUUACUCAGGAGAACAGUCUCUUUUGCCAAAUAUGAAAACCACCGUCAUCAGUUUCGGACAGCAAUGGGCACUCUUGGAUGUGUAUGGAAGCUCUCACUGGAGCAUUCAACUGAUUUGACUGCAUUACCUUAUUUUGCAGAUGUACAUGUCCAAACAGUCCAUAAAUAUUAUGUCUUGUGGAAAACAAUGUCAUGAUUCAUUGAACAAAAAAAGCAAAAUGGCCUGAAAGAUUCUGAUAUUCAAUAACACUGAAACUGGGGUAGGACAAAUCUGGCUGGAAUUUGAAUGUUUGAAGAGUUUUCAGCCAUUUUGGGUUUGAUAAAAGAGCAAACUCAUUUUAUGAAGCAGUCUUACCCUUACUUUCUAAACACAAUGUGUAUUUGAAAGGAAAUUCAAUCCAUAUGUUUUUGAUUAAUUUUACUUAAAUCAUCAAAAUAUUUUUUUCUUAAGAGUUGUUUGAUGUCUAAGAAGCAUUUAAGCCCUUUGAAUAAUUUUUUAAAAAUAUAUAUUUUUUUUCUCUUUAAAACAGGAAAUCACUUUUUAAAGAGUUUAAAUGGGUUUGGACACAAAUGAGAUUCAGAUUUGAAAUCCUGACCCUGUAAGAUUAGGGAAAGUUUGAAACUUGCCAAAAUAGAGUCUCCCAUUCAUCCCUAAAAGUGAGUACCUUCUGAUAUUAUAUUGUCAGCAGAAAUACUUGGGCAUUGUCCAACAGAGUGAUAUAUCCUGUUAUAGUUUUCUCUCAAGUUGUAGGGGUCAUAACCUCGGUAAACUUUGACUCCCCUCUCUUCUUUACGUUGGCCUUCAUAUCAGGUAAGUCACUAAGUUCUCCGUCUCUUUCACCUGUCUCUUCCUCUUGAUUUUCAUUGGCUUCAGUCCUCUGAGGCUUUUAUCACCUCAGGCCUAGAUCACAGUAUUUACCAUCUAGCUAGUGCCUCCUUCUGUCUACUCUCUCCCAGCACCCAUCAAAUGUGUAUGUUGUUGCUUUUUAGUCCUCACCCAAAUCCUCACUACAUCUUGACUAAAAUCACCACUCUUCCACUAAAGAAUCUUCAGUGGUUCCUAAAGCCCAUGAAUCCUUUAGUCUGCAUUCAGUAGUUCUCUGCAUUCACUGGCCCCAGGAUGCCGUUUCAAAUAUAGGAGCCGAUGCUGACCAGUGGAGAAUCUCUUCUCAGAGUGGCUUGGUUGCUUUGUGAAACACAAUACAUGUGCACUCGUCUGUGAGCACUUCGUCCUACUCCGUUUAAUGAGAGCCAACCCAAGUUUCACCUCCUUGCUGAUGAUUCCUGCCUGUGCUAACCUUCCCUCCUUAGAGUUCUUACACACUCUCUCUCUUAUGCUCUCUUUUACUUGUCUCUGAGUUGGUGUCUGAUCUUAUGCUGCUGCAUAGAAUUCUUUCACUUCACAGGUGUCCAUGUCUUUCCUCCUUAACUGGACUACAGACUUAGUUGUGUGGCUGCGGUUCUCCAAGUCUAGUCCCCGGACCAUAGCAUCAGCAUCACUAAGAAUUUGUUAGAACUAUAAUUUAUUAGGGUCCACCCCAGAGCUGCUGAAUCAGAAUUCCAGGUGUGGGACCAGCACUCUGUAUUUUAACAAGCCUCCCAGAUAACUCAGAUGCUGCGCAAAUUUGAGAACUGCUGUUAUAAAGGAAAAGACAGAUCUUAGACUUCUUUGUAUCCUCCACAAUGCCAGGACAAAACUGAAAUGUAGAAGUUACUAAAAUUAUAGAUAACCUGAAUUUUAAGACAAGCUCUCAAUGAUGUGCAAAGGAGAGAAUGGAAACAUUUUCAAAAGUUUGGUAUGAAACUUUGAGAAAUGAAAAGCUACUAUUUC